AGUGAACGCUGGCGGUAGGCCUAACACAUGCAAGUCGAACGGCAGCACAGUAAGAGCUUGCUCUUACGGGUGGCGAGUGGCGGACGGGUGAGGAAUACAUCGGAAUCUACUUUUUCGUGGGGGAUAACGUAGGGAAACUUACGCUAAUACCGCAUACGACCUACGGGUGAAAGCAGUGGAUCUUCGGACCUUGCGCGAUUGAAUGAGCCGAUGUCGGAUUAGCUAGUUGGCGGGGUAAAGGCCCACCAAGGCGACGAUCCGUAGCUGGUCUGAGAGGAUGAUCAGCCACACUGGAACUGGGACACGGUCCAGACUCCUACGGGAGGCAACAGUGGGGAAUAUUGGACAAUGGGCGCAAGCCUGAUCCAGCCAUACCGCGUGGGUGAAGAAGGCCUUCGGGUUGUAAAGCCCUUUUGUUGAGAAAGAAAAGCAGCAGGUUAAUACCCCGCUGUUCUGACGGUACCCAAAGAAUAAGCACCGGCUAACUUCGUG
rnacentral:rRNA from 1 species